UGAACUGUGCUGGGUAAGCGUGGCUGUUUCUUUGUUUGUCAGCUUUUAUCGUAGCAAUUAAUGCAAGCUGGUCUGAUCUGUUUAGCCUCCCUUGCUGCGCCUCCAACUCCUGGACCAAUUUGUUCGGUUGUUUGCUGCCGGGAAGCUGCGCUCCAUAGGCGAACUUGUGGAUCUGUUUAUCUGGCCGUGUGGUAAUUUACAGGUAAGCAGCUACCAUAAAUUAUAGUUUUUAUCAGCAGUGGUAUUAAUAAUCUACUCUAUUUUUUAGCCUCCUGCUGAGUCCCUGACGACUAUUACAUUUGGAUGUACACUCGCUGCUGUUUUGCCUACGAUGAAAUGUUUUAAAAGAUUUGUAUGAACUUUCCCCCGCUGCCGGGAGCAUUGAUGGCACUACGACCGGGAU